UGCUCAGGUGGCCUUGUGGUUAGAGCGACCGCCUCGGAUGCGGGAGGUCGUGGGUUCGGACCACGGCCGAGUCA